rnacentral:rRNA from 1 species
CGGUCCAGACUCCUACGGGAGGCAGCAGUGGGGAAUCUUGCGCAAUGGGAGCAAUCCUGACGCAGCAACGCCGCGUGGGUGAUGAAGGUCUUCGGAUCGUAAAGCCCUGUCGGAGGGGAAGAUGCUUUGCAUAGCUAAUAGUGAUGCAAGGUGACGGUACCCUCAAAGGAAGCACCGGCUAACUCUGUGCCAGCAGCCGCGGUAAUACAGAGGGUGCAAGCGUUGUUCGGAAUUAUUGGGCGUAAAGGGAGUGUAGGCGGUCUGGUAAGUCUUCUGUGAAAUCUACGGGCUUAGCCUGUAACGUGCAGAGGAAACUACCAGGCUUGAGUGUCGGAGAGGAUAGGGGAAUUCCCGGUGUAGAGGUGAAAUUCGUAGAGAUCGGGAGGAACACCAGUGGCGAAGGCGCCUAUCUGGCUGACAACUGACGCUGAGACUCGAAAGCAUGGGGAGCAAACAGGAUUAGAUACCCUGGUAGUCCAUGCCGUAAACGAUGAUAGCUAGAUGUGUGAGGUAUUGACCCCUUACGUGUCGAAGUCAACACGAUAAGCUAUCCGCCUGGGGAGUACGGUCGCAAGAUUAAAACUCAAAGGAAUUGACGGGGGCCCGCACAAGCGGUGGGGCAUGUGGUUUAAUUCGACUACGCGAAGAACCUUACCUAGGCUUGACAUGUAUAGAAUCCCUUAGAAAUUUGGGAGUGCUCGCAAGAGAGCUAUAACACAGGUGCUGCAUGGCUGUCGUCAGCUCGUGUCGUGAGAUGUUGGGUUAAGUCCCGCAACGAGCGCAACCCUUGUCGUUGGUCGCCAGCAUUUAGUUGGGAACUCUAACGAGACUGCCGUGGUUAACACGGAGGAAGGUGGGGAUGACGUCAAGUCCUCAUGGCCUUUAUGCUUAGGGCUACACACGUGCUACAAUGCAUUCUACAGAGGGCUGCGAAGCCGCAAGGUGAAGCCAAUCCCACAAAAGAAUGCUCAGUUCAGAUUGGAGUCUGCAACUCGACUCCAUGAAGCUGGAAUCGCUAGUAAUCGCGGAUCAGCACGCCGCGGUGAAUACGUUCCCGGGCCUUGUACACACCGCCCGUCACACCAUGGGAGUUGGCUGCUCCAGAAGUGGCCUGGUUAACCGCAAGGAGACCAGCCCCUAAGGAGUGCUCAAUGACUGGGGUGAAGUCGUAACAAGGUAGCCGUAGGGGAACCUGCGGCUG